rnacentral:rRNA from 1 species
AACGAACGCUGGCGGCAGGCUUAACACAUGCAAGUCGAACGCGUGUAGCAAUACACGAGUGGCGCACGGGUGAGUAACGCGUGGAUAUCUGCCUUUUGGUUCGGAAUAACCCCGGGAAACUGGGGCUAAUACCGGAUGGUUCCUACGGGAUAAAGAUUUAUCGCCAAAAGAUGAGUCCGCGUACGAUUAGCUAGUUGGUGAGGUAAUGGCUCACCAAGGCGACGAUCGUUAGCUGGUCUGAGAGGACGAUCAGCCACACUGGGACUGAGACACGGCCCAGACUCCUACGGGAGGCAGCAGUGGGGAAUAUUGGACAAUGGGGGCAACCCCGAUCCAGCCAUGCCGCGUGAGUGAUGAAGGCCUUCGGGUUGUAAAGCUCUUUUGGCGGGGACGAUGAUGACGGUACCCGCAGAAUAAGCCCCGGCUAACUUCGUGCCAGCAGCCGCGGUAAGACGAAGGGGGCUAGCGUUGUUCGGAAUUACUGGGCGUAAAGCGCGUGUAGGCGGUUGCCCAAGUCGGGUGUGAAAGCCUUGAGCUCAACUCAAGAAAUGCACUCGGUACUGGGUGACUAGAGGACCGGAGAGGAUAGUGGAAUUCCCAGUGUAGUGGUGAAAUACGUAGAGAUUGGGAAGAACACCAGUGGCGAAGGCGGCUAUCUGGACGGUUUCUGACGCUAAGACGCGAAAGCGUGGGGAGCAAACAGG